rnacentral:rRNA from 1 species
CAGCCGCCACGGGAAUACGGAGGGUGCAAGCGUUAAUCGGAAUUACUGGGCGUAAAGCGCACGCAGGCGGUCUGACAAGUCAGAUGUGAAAUCCCCGGGCUUAACCUGGGAACUGCAUUUGAAACUGUCAGGCUGGAGUCUUGUAGAGGGGGGUGGAAUUCCAGGUGUAGCGGUGAAAUGCGUAGAGAUCUGGAGGAAUACCGGUGGCGAAGGCGGCCCCCUGGACAAAGACUGACGCUCAGGUGCGAAAGCGUGGGAGCAAACAGGAUUAGAUACCCCAGUAGUCCCUGUCUCUUAUACC